CCUACGGGUGGCAGCAGUGGGGAAUAUUGCACAAUGGGGGAAACCCUGAUGCAGCGACGCCGCGUGAGUGAAGAAGUAUUUCGGUAUGUAAAGCUCUAUCAGCAGGGAAGAAAAUGACGGUACCUGACUAAGAAGCCCCGGCUAACUACGUGCCAGCAGCCGCGGUAAUACGUCGGGGGCAAGCGUUAUCCGGAUUUACUGGGUGGAAAGGGAGCGUAGACGGCAGCGCAAGUCUGGGGGGAAAUCCCAUGGAUUAACCAUGGAACUGCUUUGGAAACUGUGGAGCUGGAGUGCAGGAGAGGUAAGCGGAAUUCCUAGUGGAGCGGUGAAAUGCGUAGAUAUUAGGAGGAACACCAGUGGCGAAGGCGGCUUACUGGACUGUAACUGACGUUGAGGCUCGAAAGCGUGGGGAGCAAACAGGAUUAGAUACCCCAGUAGUC
rnacentral:rRNA from 1 species